rnacentral:snoRNA from 1 species
CCCCUCUCAGGAUGGCACCUGGAGAGCUUUCAGUCCUCUACCAGCCUCGGCUAAGGGAGGGAGAGUCAAGCAGAGGCUUGUCCAUUCCAUUCCUAGCUUGGGCAGUGACUAGCGAGUGGAAGGCGAUCUGUUACAAGU